UACGGGGGAGCAAGCGUUGUUCGGAUUUACUGGGCGUAAAGGGCGCGUAGGCGGCCUCUGCAAGUCGACUGUGAAAUCUCCGGGCUUAACCCGGAACGGUCAGCCGAUACUGCAGGGCUAGAGUGCAGAAGGGCACUGGAAUUCUCGGUGUAGCGGUGAAAUGCGUAGAUAUCGAGAGGAACACCUGCGGCGAAGGCGGGCUGCUGGGCUGACACUGACGCUGAAGCGCGAAAGCUAGGGGAGCGAACGGG
rnacentral:rRNA from 1 species